rnacentral:rRNA from 1 species
UACGUGGGGGGCAAGCGUUGUCCGGAUUUAUUGGGCGUAAAGAGCGUGUAGGCGGCCAGAUAGGUCUGUUGUGAAAACUCGAGGCUCAACCUCGAGACGCCGAUGGAAACCAUCUGGCUAGAGUCCGGAAGAGGAGAGUGGAAUUCCUGGUGUAGCGGUGAAAUGCGCAGAUAUCAGGAAGAACACCCGUGGCUAAGGCGGCUCUCUAGUACGGUACUGACGCUGAGACGCGAAAGCGUGGGGAGCGAACAGG